rnacentral:rRNA from 1 species
UACGGGGGGGGCAAGCGUUGUUCGGAAUUACUGGGCGUAAAGGGCUCGUAGGCGGCCAACUAAGUCAGACGUGAAAUCCCUCGGCUUAACCGGGGAACUGCGUCUGAUACUGGAUGGCUUGAGUUUGGGAGAGGGAUGCGGAAUUCCAGGUGUAGCGGUGAAAUGCGUAGAUAUCUGGAGGAACACCGGUGGCGAAAGGCGGCAUCCUGGACCAACACUGACGCUGAGGAGCGAAAGCCAGGGGAGCAA